rnacentral:rRNA from 1 species
CAGCAGCCGCGGGAAUACGUAGGGUGCGAGCGUUAAUCGGAAUUACUGGGCGUAAAGCGUGCGCAGGCGGUUAUAUAAGACAGAUGUGAAAUCCCCGGGCUCAACCUGGGACCUGCAUUUGUGACUGUAUAGCUAGAGUACGGUAGAGGGGGAUGGAAUUCCGCGUGUAGCAGUGAAAUGCGUAGAUAUGCGGAGGAACACCGAUGGCGAAGGCAAUCCCCUGGACCUGUACUGACGCUCAUGCACGAAAGCGUGGGGGGCAAACAGGAUUAGAUACCCCAGUAGUCCCUGUCUCUUAUAC